GACAUUCAUUUUCAAUUUCUAAAAUAAUAAUAUUGAAGAAGGAAACAUAAACUAUAUAUACAGUAAAACGGAUGUAAAUAAACAUAUUGAUUCGCGAAUAGUCACAUUCAUAAUUAUAAUAAAUGAGUUUGAUUGCAACCUGUGAGAUGAAAAAUGAAAUCAAUAAUUAAAGCUUCCAUGAUGAACAAGCAAAAGAAUAAGAGAAUGUGAGAAAAGCAGUAAAAGCACGAAACAUGUUAAAAAGAGAGAGAGAAAGAGAAAUAAGAUUGGCUGAGAAAACGCGUAAAAGGGUCUCUCUAGUUCAGAUCUCAACUAGCCCACAAUAAACAUUCCCAUACCUCACACUGUGGCAGCCUCACAAAUCGAAUAUUCUUAGCUUCAAUUUUCGUAUUUAUUUUUGUUUUUCUUUUUCAAAGAAUCACUAUCUUUUUCUUUCUCCAAGAGACACUGCAUCUGAUGCUGUUUCCCUCACCAUCUUGACAAAAGUUUUGUGGUGCCUGCCUUCAAGCUAUCACCAAAAAUUUAAGAAAUGGAUCAACAAGUUGAGAGGCAGAAGCGUAGCAAGGAGAUGAAGAGGAAGAGUAGUAGGGUGAAGAAGACUAACAAGAUAGUGACAUGUUGUCGCUGCCCCUGUCGUGCGGCAUCAUGCAUGUUCCGAGGUAUUGGGAGGUGCGUGUUUGUCUCAUGUUACCCUGUUGUGCAGUGCUUGGGUUUGGACGAACACAGACAUCGCCACCACCAUCACCAUGGCAAGCACUUUGAUUGGUGACAAACCACAAAGGUUAUAGGAAUCAAUGCAUACUUUAUUCGUGUUUUUCGGGAUUUAAGAUUUAGGAAAGGUUGAGAGGGAUGAAUAAAUGGUCCUCACUGCUCACUUUUGUUCUUUAUCUUUCUUCUGUUUUAUAUAAUUCUUUUCAUGAUAGAUGAACAAUUCGAAAUUUUGUAAGAGUUGGUUUAAUGUGAUUCAGCCAUCUCUUUUGGUUAUGGAAAA